CCAGCAAACAGUUGGUUGAGUCAGGUCAAGGUCUAGCAGUGAAAGCUUUGGGAAAAUGUCUUCCCUGGAGUUUUACAGCUAGAUAAGUCAGGCACCCUCAGAUACUCUUUGGUGA
ensembl:miRNA Mir6379 microRNA 6379